CGGGCAAAGAUAAGUUGUGUACGAAUGUAUAAAUCAGGCUAAGUGACCAGGUAUGUGAUAGUUGAUUACCUAUUUGAAAAUAAGGUAAGUUGUAUACUUGAAUUGAUGAUAUGAAGUUAUGUGAAAUAUGAAUUAUGUGAUUGCAUAUUUGAAUAUAUAUGUAUUCGGCCUUUGAUGUAUAUGUGCAUUGAGGAAAGUGAUGAUUGAUUAUAUUAAUGUUCAAUUGAUUAUUCGGUAAAG
rnacentral:lncRNA from 1 species